GAUGAACACUAGCGGGAGGCUUAACACAUGCAAGUCGAGCGGUAAAUUGGUUAUAGCAAUAUGACUGAUCGAGAGCGGCGCACGGGUGAGUAACGCGUACACGACCUACCUCUAACAGGGGGAUAGCCCUGGGAAACUGGGAUUAAUACCGCAUAUAAUUCUGAAUAAUAAAGGUUUGGAAUGAAAGCUGAAGCGGUUAGAGAUGGGUGUGCGUCUGAUUAGCUAGUUGGUAGGGUAACGGCCUACCAAGGCGAUGAUCAGUAGGGGGCGUGAGAGCGUGGUCCCCCACACGGGUACUGAGACACGGACCCGACUCCUACGGGAGGCAGCAGUAAGGAAUAUUGGUCAAUGGGCGAAAGCCUGAACCAGCCAUCCAGCGUGCAGGAAGAAGGCCCUAUGGGUUGUAAACUGCUUUUAUCAGGGAAGAAACCUCUGGAUUUACUCCGGAGCUGACGGUACCUGAAGAAUAAGCACCGGCUAACUCCGUGCCAGCCGCCGCGGUAAGAC
rnacentral:rRNA from 1 species